rnacentral:lncRNA from 1 species
ACUCUGGAGCCCGCCAGCUCCAGAGAGCAGGGCUUGCUGAUCUGUCCCCUCUCGCGCCCUGGCUUGUCUGUCACACAGGACCCCCGCCAGGCGGCGUGCGGGACCCUCCAACGCUCCGAGGCUGGAACCCGCCGUGGGUCAAGCAACAAGUAGCAGCGACUGGCCGGAGCGGUGGUGACCCGCGCGACGAUACCUGGCGAAGGCUUUCGGACUGCAGGCAAGGGGAUGAGUGCCGAGCAGGGGGUCCGCGCCCGGACUCACUGGCUGGACUGUCUUCCCGCCUUGCUCCCCUUCCUUCUCAAGAAAGAAAGUCAAGAAGUCUGGACUGUGUAUUAUGACAACAGUAUGCAUGGCUGUUACCCGGAAGAUGGCUGGUCCACUCUGAAAUGUGCUGCAUCCCUUCCAGUUUCUUUACAUUACCAGUAUAAGCUUUAUUUUUUGCUGGAAUUUGGACAAACUGCUUAUAUCAAAGGAUGGUCCUCAGUUUAAGCCAUGGUUCUCACCACAGCAGAACAAAUGGAAACCAUGGAAAUAGAACCGAAUUCUAGACCAUAAAAUACCAUAUGUGAAUUGAAUAUUCACCAUAUUGGAAAUGUCAAAAGAAAAGAUAAUUGAAUUUGAAGCUAAACCAAUAGAAAUUAUUUGAUCUGAAGAACAAGGGGAGGAAGAUUAGGAAACAACUAAGCAUGUCUUUAGUAACUUUUGCACAAGUAUUAAGUUUUUUAAAUAUAUAAUUACAGUCCUAGAGGAACAACAAAUUUAAUCGGGUAGGAAAAAAUCAAGACUAAUAGUCAGUGGAUGACGUCAACUUUCACACCCAAAAAAGUUAACGUAGGACAAAUUUUAAAAAAACUCAAUCUAGACACACUGUAAUUGGACAGAGACAAAAAGUCUUGAAAUUAAUCACAGAAAACUGAC